GUGCUCUUGGGAUUGUAACAGGCACAGGCAGCACCCUUCUACAGAAGUAAAAGUGACUUGCUGAGAAAUUUUCUAAGUGCGGGUUUCUUUUCGCUACACCGAGCACUUGUUUCCAACACAUGCAAACCAGAAUGGAGGUCUCCCUGGACCUGGGUUUGGGCCACAAGCUUGCAAGACCUUGGGCAAGACUGUUCCCUCUUCUGAACCAAGUCCUUCCCUGGCCCAGCCGCUUGUGAGUAACACAUCAGUUUCAUGCUUACACCUCCUGGUCUUGUGAGUAACACAUCGGUUUCAUGCUUACACCUCCUGGUCUGACCGGGCUCUCCUUUGCAGAGCCUUUUAUUCCUUCCCUUCCUCUGAACACUGGCUGGCUGCUUUCAGGGAAGAAGUUCAAGGCAGUGGCAGGGAGCUCCUUGCACAUCGCCAUGACAAAUGUUUUAUGGAAACAGUGAGCUGAUGGGACGAGGGGUCGGGGCUAGAAAGUCAGCCAAAAGGUGUGAGAACCCGGACUAGCCCCCAGCCCUGAACAUGGCAGGCCACUGUGCCAUGGUAGGGGAGUGAAAGUUUCCCUCUGCUCCUCUUAGGGUUCCAGCUGGGGCUCCUUACAAAAGAGAAAAACAGUUCAUUAAUGCAUGUAGUGCACCUCACUGAAGAAGCUUCAACAAAAAGCAACUCAGAACAGUGACUUAGAACUGGGUUAUGGAGCAACUUCAACAAAGAAUAAUCAACGUGUGGGGAAAUGACAGGACCCAGGAGAGCGGUUUUAGGCUUCCAAGUUUGGGAAACCGGCAAGGUGAGUAUUGGGAGGAAAC
rnacentral:lncRNA from 1 species